ACUCAAAGGAAUAGACGGGGACCCGCACAAGCGGUGGAGCAUGUGCUUUAAUUCGAUGCAACGCGAAGAACCUUACCCGGUCUUGACAUAGUUCUGACCGUUCCAGAGAUGGGACUUUCAGCAAUGACAGGACAUACAGAUGCUGCAUGGUUGUCGUCAGCUCGUGUCGUGAGAUGUUGGGUUAAGUCCCGCAACGAGCGCAACCCUUGCCGAUAGUUACCAUCAUUAAGUUGGGGACUCUAUCGGGACUGCCUUCGCAAGGAGGAGGAAGGUGGGGAUGACGUCAAAUCAUCAUGGCUCUUACGACCGGGGCUAGACACGUGCUACAAUGGUGACUACAAAGGGCUGCUACCUGGCAACAGGAUGCCAAUCUCAAAAAAGUCAUCUCAGUUCGGAUUGAGGUCUGCAACUCGACCUCAUGAAGUUGGAAUCGCUAGUAAUCGUGGGUCAGCAUACCACGGUGAAUACGUUCCCGGGUCUUGUACACACCGCCCGU
rnacentral:rRNA from 1 species